rnacentral:lncRNA from 1 species
AUUGGACUCCUAUUUAUUGGUCGAAUGAAUUUCACUCGACAGAGUUGCUACCUCUGCCACCUCUCCGGCAGGCCAGGGGGAUGACCCCAUGGACACGGACAACGUAGUUUCGUCCCAGCCAGGUGCGUUGUAGCGAUUCCGAGAGUUUUACAUUAUCGCAUCGCGAAUUCUGUCUUCGGUCUUGCCCCUUCCUUUUUCUGAGAUCUCACGCCGUUCGAUCUGACAAGGGUGAUUUAUGUGGAUGAGGGUGACCAGGGGGGAGCAAGCUGUGGUGCCUGUCCUUGAGGCUGUUCCGCCAGUUACUGCUCUCGCCGCGGACGUGCCGCCGACUGAGGCGAUGCCGCCGACUGAAACGGUGCUGGUUGCUGCUGAACCGACUGGAGCGGGCCUUGGGAUGCCCAAAGAGCUUCCAACGAUGUCAGGCCCGUCAAAUGUCGAGUUCAACGUCCAGCGCCUGCCGGAGGAUCAGGUGGGAGCGGCCAAGG